ensembl:snoRNA snoRNA:Psi18S-531 snoRNA:Psi18S-531
GGCCACGCCGAUUUGCCGUCAGAGAGUGAGCUUUAUGCGUCGCUCUGAUGGCAGUGUACUCAGUGGCAGAGCAAAAAAUUGGUCACUCUUCUUUAUUUGGGCUCUCUGUUCUACCCACUCGACUCUUAGCCUUAACAAAGAAAGAGACAUUU